rnacentral:rRNA from 1 species
UACGUAGGGUGCGAGCGUUGUCCGGAAUUAUUGGGCGUAAAGAGCUCGUAGGCGGUGUGUCGCGUCUGCUGUGAAAACUCAGGGCUCAACUCUGAGCUUGCAGUGGGUACGGGCACACUAGAGUGCUGUAGGGGAGACUGGAAUUCCUGGUGUAGCGGUGAAAUGCGCAGAUAUCAGGAGGAACACCGGUGGCGAAGGCGGGUCUCUGGGCAAUAACUGACGCUGAGGAGCGAAAGCGUGGGGAGCGAACAGG